UUAAUUGAAGAGUUUGAUCAUGGCUCAGAUUGAACGCUGGCGGCAGGCCUAACACAUGCAAGUCGAGCGGCAGCACAGAGGAACUUGUUCCUUGGGUGGCGAGCGGCGGACGGGUGAGUAAUGCCUGGGAAAUUGCCCGGUAGAGGGGGGAUAACCAUUGGAAACGAUGGCUAAUACCGCAUAACCUCGCAAGAGCAAAGCAGGGGACCUUCGGGCCUUGCGCUACCGG
rnacentral:rRNA from 2 species